CCAGAAGCGCCUCGCCUGUCCUCUGGGGAGUCGGGGAGCGUGACCAGAGAGAGUGACGUCUGUUCGCCUUUUUCUUUGCUUUCCACUGGCUUCCUUAACUUUUGCAUGUGCACUUAUUCCCUGCCUCCCUGUCUUCCUCGCUCAUUAAUUUUUCAUUGGAAUUCGAGCUGGGCAAUUUAGGAUUUUUCCUUAUUUCCUGCUUUCCCGCAGCUUUUCCCCAACCUCUGAAGUGCGGAGGGAGGGAGAAGGAGAGGAGAGAAAUAGAAAAAGGAUGGAGAGUGCUUUUCUGUUGGACUAAAAGCACACCCUAAACAUCCCUCCCGGACAUACCUCUUGCUAUACCCUUUCCUCGACCUGCACCCACUCCCUGAGCCAUCCGGCGUAUAUCGGUCACCCAGCAGGGUGUCAGGCAGUGUUGUAGGUGCUGGAGAUACGGCAGAGAACAAAACAAAGUCCCUGUUCCCGUGGAGUUUACGUUCUAGGAGCGGGUAUAUGUCAGCCAACAGCCGGUAGCCAAAACACAGAAAUUCUGUCUGAUGGUGACUGGAGCUUCAAGCAUAAAUAAAGCAGAGUAAGGAAAAUAAGGGUAAGGGAGGUGCUAUUUCAUGUAGAGUGUGGUUAGGGAGACCACUUGAAGGAAGGAAGGACAGGCCUGGGAGAUGCCUGCAGGAAGAGCAGCAAGUGGAAGGGUCCAGAUGAAGGAAUGAAUGUUCAAGAGCAAGAAGAUCAGUCUGGCUGGAGUCAAGUGAGAGGGAGACCAGAUCACGUGCCAGAUCUUUAGUGGAGAUGGGGGACUUCGUCAAAACUGCCACUGAAGAUUUCUGAAUGACCACGUAUUUUCUCAGUUGGAGUCAGUUGAUUUCCCAAUGCCUUGUCCUACCCCUUCGCUUCAUCUCAUGCCAUGCACCAGUCA
rnacentral:lncRNA from 1 species